CGCGUGGGUGACGUACCUGUUGGUGGGGAAUAACUGCCCGAAAGGGUGGCUAAUUCCGCAUACGUCCAUUGAUUCAGUAUUGAUGGAGAAAGCUUCGCAAGAGGCGCCGAUGGAGCGGCCCGCGUCCGAUUAGCCAGUUGGUGGGGUAACGGCCUACCAAAGCGACGAUCGGUAGCUGGUCUCAGAGGAUGAUCAGCCAGACUGGGACUGAGACACGGCCCAG
rnacentral:rRNA from 1 species